AUGCAUGCACAUGUCGCGCGCCCAAUGUCCCGCCAGCAAGAACGACGCGUGGCAACAGGAUUCUUCUGCGAGCAAGCCUUUACUGUGUUACAGCUCUUCUUAGUGUUACAGCUCUCUUAGUGUUACAGCUCUCUUGAACAGGGACUCCGAGCAGCAAAAUCGCUCGGCUUAUAUAGACAACAGUAUGCUAAUUAUCUCUCAGGGAUUGGUGGGGCUUGGAUCACCCCACUACUUGUCCUCCAGGGAUUGGCGGAGAAUGAAUCACCUCAUUAGCAUAUUAACGGUCAACUAACACCUGGUGCAUAAACCGCACAUGUGCAGUACCGCUGUUCACCACUAGAGGGAGCCCUAGCAAGGGGACAAGCCUGCACAUGCGCAGUAAGUCGUUUAUAUCCAGACAAGGCUGGAUGUCGGCGCCAUCUUUGUUUCGCCGCGCCGCUCUCUACAUGCACAGAUGCACACACAUGUUGGAUAUGUACAAUGCUGUGAACAGAAGGCUGAGAAGGGGCAUGGUUAGAUUGGGCCAAGAGGCUUUUGAGAGUCUGUGAAGUCUAUAUGGAAAUUCUUCAGAGCGGCUUUAGAUGCUGAACAGGAAACCGUGGUACAGAUGAUGCAUUCACGUGUGCAGAGAGCCUUCUCCAAAGUGCCGAGACUUUGAAGAUCUGCUAACCUCCUGAAACAGCACUCUCCACAAGGUGUCCCUGUGGUGUGAGGACACUCAGACGACAUGGUAA